rnacentral:rRNA from 1 species
CCCCGGCGAGGGGAGUGAAAUAGAACCUGAAACCUUGUGCUUACAAGCAGUCGGAGCAGACUUGUUCUGUGACGGCGUACCUUUUGUAUAAUGGGUCAACGACUUAAUUUCAGUAGCAAGCUUAACCGUUUAGGGGAGGCGCAGGGAAACCGAGUCUUAAUAGGGCGCUCAGUUGCUGGAAUUAGACCCGAAACCGGGUGAUCUAUCCAUGGCCAGGGUGAAGGUUAGGUAACACUGACUGGAGGCCCGAACCCACUUAUGUUGAAAAAUGAGGGGAUGAGCUGUGGAUAGGAGUGAAAGGCUAAUCAAACCCGGAGAUAGCUGGUUCUCUUCGAAAACUAUUUAGGUAGUGCCUCAUGUAUUACCAUUGGGGGUAGAGCACUGUUUCGGCUAGGGGGUCAUCCCGACUUACCAAACCGAUGCAAACUCCGAAUACCAAUGAGUACGAGCAUGGGAGACAGACUGCGGGUGCUAACGUCCGUAGUCGAGAGGGAAACAACCCAGACCGUCAGCUAAGGUCCCAAAUUAUGAUUAAGUGGGAAACAAUGUGGGAAGGCACAAACAGCUAGGAGGUUGGCUUAGAAGCAGCCAUCCUUUAAAGAAAGCGUAAUAGCUCACUAGUCGAGUCGGCCUGCGUGGAAGAUAUAACGGGGCUAAAUCAUAAACCGAAGCUACGGAUCUUAAAUUUAUUUAAGAUGGUAGAAGAGCGUUCUGUAAGCGGUUGAAGGUAAGCUGUAAGGCGAACUGGACGUAUCAGAAGUGCGAAUGUUGACAUGAGUAACGAUCAAAGAGGUGAAAAACCUCUUCGCCGAAAAUCCAAGGUUUCCUGUCCAACGCUAAUCGUGGCAGGGUGAGUCGGCUCCUAAGGCGAGGGCGAAAGCCGUAGUCGAUGGAAAACAGGUUAAUAUUCCUGUACUUCUUAUAAUUGCGAUGGGGUGACGGAGAAGGUUAGGCUAGCACGGCGACGGUUGUCCGUGUUCAAGGUUGUAGACUGAGAUUCUAGGUAAAUCCGGAAUCUCUUAAGGUCAAGAACUGAUAACGACCACUCUUUUGAGUGGGAAGUAGUCGAUACCAUGCUUCCAGGAAAAACCUCUAAGCUUCAGAUUAUAAGAAACCGUACCCCAAACCGACACAGGUGGAUAAGUCGAGAAGACUAAGGUGUUUGAGAGAACUAUGGUGAAGGAACUAGGCAAAAUGGUACCGUAACUUCGGGAGAAGGUACGCCACCAUUGGUGAUGAGACUUGCUCUUUAAGCUGAUGGUGGUCGAAGAUACUAGGUGGCUGCGACUGUUUAUUAAAAACAUAGCACUCUGCAAAAUCGUAAGAUGACGUAUAGGGUGUGACGCCUGCCCGGUGCCGGAAGGUUAAUUGAUGGGGUUAGCUUCGGCGAAGCUCCUGAUCGAAGCCCCGGUAAACGGCGGCCGUAACUAUAACGGUCCUAAGGUAGCGAAAUUCCUUGUCGGGUAAGUUCCGACCUGCACGAAUGGCGUAACGAUGGCCACACUGUCUCCACCCGAGACUCA